rnacentral:rRNA from 1 species
GUGGGGAAUAUUGGACAAUGGGGGGAACCCUGAUCCAGCCAUGCCGCGUGUGUGAAGAAGGCCUUUUGGUUGUAAAGCACUUUAAGCGAGGAGGAGGCUACCGAGAUUAAUACUCUUGGAUAGUGGACGUUACUCGCAGAAUAAGCACCGGCUAACUCUGUGCCAGCAGCCGCGGUAAUACAGAGGGUGCAAGCGUUAAUCGGAUUUACUGGGCGUAAAGCGCGCGUAGGUGGCCAAUUAAGUCAAAUGUGAAAUCCCCGGGCUUAACUUGGGAAUUGCCUUCGAUACUGGUUGGCUAGAGUAUGGGAGAGGAUGGUAGAAUUCCAGGUGUAGCGGUGAAAUGCGUAGAGAUCUGGAGGAAUACCGAUGGCGAAGGCAGCCAUCUGGCCUAAUACUGACACUGAGGUGCGAAAGCAUGGGGAGCAAACAGGAUUAGAAACCCGGGUAGUCC